GAUGAAGAACGUAGCAAAAUGCGAUACUUGGUGUGAAUUGCAGAAUCCCGUGAACCAUCGAGUUUUUGAACGCAAGUUGCGCCCGAAGCCUUUUGGCCGAGGGCACGUCUGCCUGGGCGUCACGCAUCGCGUCGCCCCCCACAAUUCUCCGUAAAGGGAACGUGUGUUUUGGGGGCGGAUAUUGGUCUCCCGUGCUCAUGGCGUGGUUGGCCGAAAUAGGAGUCCUUUCGAUGGACGCACGAACUAGUGGUGGUCGUAAAAGCCCUCGUCUUUUGUUUCGUGCUGUUGCUCGCAAGGUAAACUCUUUAAAAACCCCAAUGUGUCGUCUCUUGACGACGCUUCGACCGCGACCCCAGGUCAGGCGGGACUACCCGCUGAGUUUAAGCAUAUCAAUAAGCGGAGGA
rnacentral:misc_RNA from 1 species